UACGUAGGGGGCUAGCGUUGUCCGGAUUUAUUGGGCGUAAAGAGCGUGUAGGCGGCCAGAUAGGUCUGCUGUGAAAACUCGAGGCUCAACCUCGAGAUGUCGGCGGAAACCAUUUGGCUAGAGUCCGGAAGAGGAAAGUGGAAUUCCUGGUGUAGCGGUGAAAUGCGCAGAUAUCAGGAAGAACACCCGUGGCGAAGGCGGCUUCCUGGCCUGUUCUUGACGCUGAGGCGCGAAAGCUAGGGGAGCAAACGGG
rnacentral:rRNA from 1 species